rnacentral:rRNA from 1 species
AUUGAACGCUGGCGGCAGGCCUAACACAUGCAAGUCGAACGAGUGGCGGACGGGUGAGUAAUGUCUGGUAAACUGCCUGAUGGAGGGGGAUAACUACUGGAAACGGUAGCUAAUACCGCAUACCAUCAGAUGUGCCCAUAUGGGAUUGGCUAUUUGGUGGGGUAACGGCUCCCCAAGGCGACGAUCCCUAUCUGGUCUGAGAGGAUGACCAGCAAUACGGGAACUGAGACACGGUCCAGACUCCGAAGGGAGGCAGCAGUGGGGAAUAUUGCACAAUGGGCGCAAGCCUGAUGCAGCCAUGCCGCGUGUAUGAAGAAGGCCUUCGGGUUGUAAAGUACUUUCAGCGGGGAGGCAUUACCCGCAGAAGAAGCACCGGCUAACUCCGUGCCAGCAGCCGCGGUAAUUC